CAGUAGCCGCGGGAAUACGUAGGGUGCAAGCGUUAAUCGGAAUUACUGGGCGUAAAGCGUGCGCAGGCGGUUCGGAAAGAAAGAUGUGAAAUCCCAGGGCUUAACCUUGGAACUGCAUUUUUAACUCCCGGACUAGAGUAUGUCAGAGGGGGGUGGAAUUCCACGUGUAGCAGUGAAAUGCGUAGAUAUGUGGAGGAACACCGAUGGCAAAGGCAGCCCCCUGGGAUAAUACUGACGCUCAUGCACGAAAGCGUGGGGAGCAAACAGGAUUAGAUACCCCCGUAGUCCCUGUCUCUUAUAC
rnacentral:rRNA from 1 species